rnacentral:tRNA from 2 species
GGGAGCAGAUGGGUGCCGGUGUGCCCCGCGGUCUUCAAAACCGUUGUAGCAGGUUAGGAGCCUGCCUGGUGAGUUCGAUUCUCACAUGCUCCCGCCA